UACGUAGGGUGCAAGCGUUGUCCGGAAUUAUUGGGCGUAAAGGGCUCGUAGGCGGUUUGUCACGUCGGGAGUGAAAACUCGGGGCUUAACUCCGAGCCUGCUUCCGAUACGGGCUGACUAGAGGUAUGCAGGGGAGAACGGAAUUCCUGGUGUAGCGGUGAAAUGCGCAGAUAUCAGGAGGAACACCGGUGGCGAAGGCGGUUCUCUGGGCAUUACCUGACGCUGAGGAGCGAAAGUGUGGGGAGCGAACAGG
rnacentral:rRNA from 1 species